UUUGCUGAUUGGAGGCCUUGAUUGCAUUGAAGAAUCCAAGAAGCCAAAGUCGUCGUCCAAGCCGUCCAAGCCGCCGAAGAAGCCGAAGACAAAGCCGAAGGAAGGUUGCAUAGAACAAGGUGGAGGGUGCAACGCAAAUCAUGUAGGAUGUUGCCAUGGAUGUGGUGCCCACGAUAAAUGCAACGGGGAGCCGCCUUCUGGUUAAGAAAUAUUCUCGACCUGCAGAGCCUUUGAAUUUCCAACA